rnacentral:rRNA from 1 species
GUCUACGGCCACGCCACCCGGAAUGAGCCCCAUGUCUGGUCUCGGAAGCUAAGCAGGGUCAGGCCUGGUGAGUACUUGGAUGGGAGAUCACCCAGGAAGACCAGGUGCUGUAGGUG